rnacentral:rRNA from 1 species
CAGUAGCCGCGGGAAUACGAAGGGGGCUAGCGUUGUUCGGAUUUACUGGGCGUAAAGCGCACGUAGGCGGACUUUUAAGUCAGGGGUGAAAUCCCGGGGCUCAACCCCGGAACUGCCUUUGAUACUGGGAGUCUUGAGUUCGAGAGAGGUGAGUGGAAUUGCGAGUGUAGAGGUGAAAUUCGUAGAUAUUCGCAGGAACACCAGUGGCGAAGGCGGCUCACUGGCUCGAUACUGACGCUGAGGUGCGAAAGCGUGGGGAGCAAACAGGAUUAGAUACCCCAGUAGUCCCUGUCUCUUAUAC